GCCAGUGUGGCUCAGUGGAUAGAGCAUCAGCCUGCUCUAUCUGAAGGGUCCCGGGUUCGAUUCCGGUCAAGGGCA
rnacentral:tRNA from 1 species